GGGUUAAUUUUUUUAGUUUAGAAAACUUUUGUUGAAUUUUUUUAGAUUCUUAGCCUG
rnacentral:tRNA from 1 species